UGGGCACCCCUGGUCUUGCCCUAUUUGGAUUUUCCUUGACUAGAUAUCUGACCUAGACAAGGAUUCUUCAUAUCUCAUUAUUCAAGAUGAAUUUCUUCUUGAGAUUUGUAUGAAUUAUAGAGCAUUGAGAGACCUUUAGGGUGUGAAAAAUUAGAGAGAAAGAGUGUUGGGCAUGGAGAUAUAAUAGACAUAAAACUAAGUGUCUGGAUUAGA
rnacentral:lncRNA from 1 species